rnacentral:rRNA from 1 species
GACGAACGCUGGCGGCGUGCUUAAUACAUGCAAGUAGAACGCACAGUUUAUACCUUAGCUUGCUACACCAUAGACUGUGAGUUGCGAACGGGUGAGUAACGCUUACCUAACCUGUCUGGUAGCGUCGGAUAACUAUUGGAAAUGAUAGCUAAUACCUCCUAAUAUUAAUUAUUGCAUGGUAAUUAAUUGAAAUUUGCAAUUGCACCACUACCAGUUGGAUCUGCGUUGUAUUAGCUAGUAGGUGAGGUUACGGCUAACCUAGGCGAGGAUACAUAGCCGACCGGAGAGGGUGGUCGGCCAAACUGGGACGGAGACACGGCCCAGACGGAUACAGGAAGGAGCAGUAGGGAAACUUGGGGAAGGGACGAAAAACAGACCAAGCAACGCCGCGGGAGUGAAGAAGGUUGUCGGAUCGUAAAGCACUGUUGUAAGGGAAGAAAGGGUGUGAGAGUGGAAAGUACACAGUGUGACGGUAUCUUACCAGAAAGGGACGGCUAACUACGUG